rnacentral:tRNA from 1 species
GUUAAUGUAGCUUAAAUAAAGCAUGGCACUGAAGAUGCCAAGAUGAACCGUAAAAGGUUCCAAUAACA